UGUGUAGGCGGCCGCGCAAGUCGGAUGUGAAAGCCCCGGGCGUCAACCCGGGAAGUGCACCCGAAACUGCGUGGCUCGAGUACCGGAGAGGUUGGUGGAAUUCUCGGUGUAGAGGUGAAAUUCGUAGAUAUCGAGAGGAACACCGGUGGCGAAGGCGGCCAACUGGACGAGUACUGACGCUGAGACACGAAAGCGUGGGGAGCAAACAGGAUUAGAUACCCUGGUAGUCCACGCCGUAAACGAUGGGUGCUAGGUGUCACGGGCUUUGACUCCUGUGGUGCCGUAGCCAACGCAUUAAGCACCCGCCUGGGAAGUACGGCCGCAAGGCUAAA
rnacentral:rRNA from 1 species